GGCAAAUCAGGUGAUAUAUAUUGCAGACACAGAGAUUGAGGUGGGUGUGGAUGUGGGCUGGGUGGAGCGGAAGCUGAGCGGCGCGAAGAGAGGAGAGCUAGGGAGGGACGAGAGAGUGGAGAGCCCGAGCGGUGCAGAGCGGAGCGAUUUAGGGUUUUGAAAUUCCAAUCGAGAUCUAAGGUCAGUCGGGCAGCGAGGGUCGGAAAUUGUGCUGCUGUAAUUUAUCGCAUCUCAUGAAUUGUGUUCCUUUUACCUCUUAGGUAUUUUUCAUUCCGUUAGAAUUCUGAGGAGAAAAUAAAAGAAAACAAAAAAAUGGUGGACCUGCUAUGGUAUGUGUUGUUGAUGAUCGCGCUGGUAAUUGUGUGUUGUGAGAAAGAGGUGUGGCUGUUGUUGUGUGCAGGAAGAGUGCGUGAGCGAUUGAGAGUUGGUGAGAGAAAAGAGAGGUGGGAAGGUCGAGAGCGCUUCCAAUAUAUUACCUGUUUUGUAAAUCGCUCAAUCGUCUCUCGUCAUGUCGGACCGAAAGCUUGUUGUUUUGGGAAUCCCAUGGGAUGUGGAUACUGAAGGUUUGAGGGAAUACAUGACCAAAUUCGGGGAAUUGGAGGACUGCAUUGUAAUGAAGGAACGCAAUACUGGUCGUUCUCGUGGUUUUGGAUACGUAACAUUUGUGACAGUUGAGGAUGCAAAGGCUGCAUUAUCAAGUGAUCAUGUUCUUGGCAAUAGAAUGCUUGAAGUCAAAAUAGCCACACCAAAGGAGGAAAUGAGAACAUCUUCAAAGAAAGUUACUAGGAUCUUUGUGGCAAGGAUUCCACCAUCUGUAACUGAAGCUGCUUUCAGAAGUCAUUUUGAGAAGUAUGGCGACAUAACAGAUCUGUACAUGCCAAAGGAUCCAAGCACCAAAGGCCAUCGUGGAAUUGGUUUUAUAACAUUUGCAAGUGCUGAGGCUGUGGAUGAUCUGAUGGGUGAUACUCAUGAAUUGGGAGGUUCACAGGUGGUCGUCGAUAGGGCUACACCAAAGGAGGAAGAAUUUAAGCCAGUUAGUCGAAUGGCCCCCCAACCCCAUGGUGGUGGUGGAUAUGGUGCUUAUAAUGCUUAUAUUACUGCUGCCACUAGAUAUGCUGCAUUUGGUGCACCUACCAUGUAUGAUCAUCCUGCUCCAAUGUAUGGAAGAGAGAUUCCUCGUGGAAUGGGCAAAAAAAUCUUUGUUGGUAGGCUUCCUCAGGAGGCAAGUGUGGAUGACCUUCGCCAGUACUUCGGGAGAUUUGGUCGUAUUUUAGAUGUUUAUGUUCCAAAGGAUCCCAAGAGAACUGGUCAUCGGGGAUUUGGUUUUAUAACUUUCGCUGAUGAUGGUGUUGCAGACCGUGUAGCUCGAAGAUCUCAUGAAAUAUGUGGACACAAGGUUGCAAUUGAUUCAGCUACUCCAAUCGAUGAUGCUGGCCCUAGCAAUAAUUUUGUGAUGAAUAAUUCUGAGCCAUUUGGAUAUGGUGGACCUAUGCGUGCAUAUGGCCGAAUGUAUGGGAGCUUAGACUUCGAUGAUGUGAGUACAUCAUAUAUAAAUUGUUAACUGUUCCUGACAAGAGAAGAAGUCUCACAUUAUUUCUGCUUUCUGCAUCGUGAGUGGGGCUAUGGUGUUGGUGGCAGUAUGGGCGGCGGUGGGAGACCUUCACGUGGUGAUUUCAGAUACAGACCUUAUUAAAGAUAGAAGGGCGUUUGCAGGCUCAUCCAAUGAAUUAAUUUCCUUACAAUAUGUGCGUGUUCUCAUCUAUGGAAACCAAGGAAAGUCAAUGAGUCAGUUGUCACAUAACUUUCGCUGCAUUGAAGUGGUUUAUUAGUUGGUAAGAAGGGUGUCUUCUUAUGAAGACGCACAUUGCCUUGUGUUUGCUUUUCACCGUAUGAGAUUUGUAGGCACUUCUAAACUUGUGAUUGUAUGUUUGAACGAUCCAUGCUAUUAUCUGAUCUAUGUUUCUUGUUCA